rnacentral:rRNA from 1 species
ACAGCAGUAGCCGCCACGGUAAUACAGAGGGUGCGAGCGUUAAUCGGAUUUACUGGGUGUAAAGCGUGCGUAGGCGGCUUCUUAAGUCGGAUGUGAAAUCCCUGAGCUUAACUUAGGAAUUGCAUUCGAUACUGGGAAGCUAGAGUAUGGGAGAGGAUGGUAGAAUUCCAGGUGUAGCGGUGAAAUGCGUAGAGAUCUGGAGGAAUACCGAUGGCGAAGGCAGCCAUCUGGCCUAAUACUGACGCUGAGGUACGAAAGCGUGGGGAGCAAACAGGAUUAGAUACCCCCGUAGUCCCUGUCUCUUA